GAUGAACGCUGGCGGCGUGCCUAAUACAUGCAAGUCGAGCGAACGGACGAGAAGCUUGCUUCUCUGAUGUUAGCGGCGGACGGGUGAGUAACACGUGGAUAACCUACCUAUAAGACUGGGAUAACUUCGGGAAACCGGAGCUAAUACCGGAUAAUAUUUUGAACCGCAUGGUUCAAAAGUGAAAGACGGUCUUGCUGUCACUUAUAGAUGGAUCCGCGCUGCAUUAGCUAGUUGGUAAGGUAACGGCUUACCAAGGCAACGAUGCAUAGCCGACCUGAGAGGGGGAUCGGCGACACUGGAAGUGAGACACGGACCAGAGUACUAAGGGAGGCAGCAGUAGGGAAUCUGCCGCAAUGGGCGAAAGCCUGACGGAGCAACGCCGCGUGAGUGAUGAAGGUCUUGGGAGCGUAAAACUGUGUUAUUAGGGAAGAACAGAUGUGUAAGUAACUGUGCACAUCUUGACGGUACCGAAUCAGAAAGCCACGGCUAACUACGUG
rnacentral:rRNA from 1 species